ensembl:snoRNA
ACAGCUUGUCAAUGAUGUUUCUUACUAAAAUGUCUGAACAUAUGAACUUCAUAGUGAUUUCAGUGCAUUACUGAGAUAAGCUGGAAA